rnacentral:tRNA from 1 species
ACAUCGGUAGCACAGUGGUUAGUGCAGUCUGCCGGAAACAGAAAGUUGCGGGUUCAAAUCCCGUCCGAUGUC